rnacentral:rRNA from 1 species
CUUUCCCUCUUUCUUUAGGCCUAACACAUGCAAGUCGAACGGCAGCACAGUAAGAGCUUGCUCUUACGGGUGGCGAGUGGCGGACGGGUGAGGAAUACAUCGGAAUCUACUUUUUCGUGGGGGAUAACGUAGGGAAACUUACGCUAAUACCGCAUACGACCUACGGGUGGAAGCAGGGGAUCUUCGGACCUUGCGCGAUUGAAUGAGCCGAUGUCGGAUUAGCUAGUUGGCGGGGUAAAGGCCCACCAAGGCGACGAUCCGUAGCUGGUCUGAGAGGAUGAUCAGCCACACUGGAACUGAGACACGGUCCAGACUCCGACGGGAGGCAGCAGUGGGGAAUAUUGGACAAUGGGCGCAAGCCUGAUCCAGCCAUACCGCGGGGGUGAAGAAGGCCUUCGGGUUGUAAAGCCCUUUUGUUGGGAAAGAAAAGCAGCAGGUUAAGACCCCUCUGUUCGGACGGGACCCAAAGAAUAAGCACCGGCGAACUUCGU